rnacentral:rRNA from 1 species
CUGAUGCAGCCAUGCCGCGUGUGUGAAGAAGGCCUUCGGGUUGUAAAGCACUUUCAGUUGUGAGGAAAAGUUAGUAGUUAAUACCUGCUAGCCGUGACGUUAACAACAGAAGAAGCACCGGCUAACUCCGUGCCAGCAGCCGCGGUAAUACGGAGGGUGCGAGCGUUAAUCGGAAUUACUGGGCGUAAAGCGCACGCAGGCGGUUUGUUAAGCUAGAUGUGAAAGCCCCGGGCUCAACCUGGGAUGGUCAUUUAGAACUGGCAGACUAGAGUCUUGGAGAGGGGAGUGGAAUUCCAGGUGUAGCGGUGAAAUGCGUAGAUAUCUGGAGGAACAUCAGUGGCGAAGGCGACUCCCUGGCCAAAGACUGACGCUCAUGUGCGAAAGUGUGGGUAGCGAACAGGAUUAGAUACCCUGGUAGUCCACACCGUAAACGCUGUCUACUAGCUGUGUGUGUCUUUAAGACGUGCGUAGCGAAGCUAACGCGCUAAGUAGACCGCCUGGGGAGUACGGCCGCAAGGUUAAAACUCAAAUGAA